CGACGGCAGCACGGACUUCGGUCUGGUGGCGAGUGGCGAACGGGUGAGUAAUAUAUCGGAACGUACCCUGGAGUGGGGGAUAACGCAGCGAAAGUUGCGCUAAUACCGCAUAUUCUGUGAGCAGGAAAGCAGGGGAUCGCAAGACCUUGCGCUGAUUGAGCGGCCGAUAUCAGAUUAGCUAGUUGGUGAGGUAAAGGCUCACCAAGGCGACGAUCUGUAGCGGGUCUGAGAGGAUGAUCCGCCACACUGGAACUGAGACACGGUCCAGACUCCUACGGGAGGCAGCAGUGGGGAAUUUUGGACAAUGGGCGCAAGCCUGAUCCAGCCAUGCCGCGUGAGUGAAGAAGGCCUUCGGGUUGUAAAGCUCUUUCAGCCGGGAAGAAAACGCAUGGGUUAAUACCCUGUGUGGAUGACGGUACCGGAAUAAGAAGCACCGGCUAACUACGUGCCAGCAGCCGCGGUAAUACGUAGGGUGCGAGCGUUAAUCGGAAUUACUGGGCGUAAAGCGUGCGCAGGCGGUUUGUUAAGAUAGGCGUGAAAUCCCCGGGCUCAACCUGGGAACUGCGUUUAUGACUGGCAGGCUAGAGUAUGGC
rnacentral:rRNA from 1 species